UUAAGCGACUAAGCGUACACGGUGGAUGCCCUGGCAGUCAGAGGCGAUGAAGGACGUGCUAAUCUGCGAUAAGCGUCGGUAAGGUGAUAUGAACCGUUAUAACCGGCGAUUUCCGAAUGGGGAAACCCAGUGUGAUUCGUCACACUAUCAUUAACUGAAUCCAUAGGUUAAUGAGGCGAACCGGGGGAACUGAAACAUCUAAGUACCCCGAGGAAAAGAAAUCAACCGAGAUUCCCCCAGUAGCGGCGAGCGAACGGGGAGGAGCCCAGAGCCUGAAUCAGUGUGUGUGUUAGUGGAAGCGUCUGGAAAGGCGCGCGAUACAGGGUGACAGCCCCGUACACAAAAAUGCACAUGCUGUGAGCUCGAUGAGUAGGGCGGGACACGUGGUAUCCUGUCUGAAUAUGGGGGGACCAUCCUCCAAGGCUAAAUACUCCUGACUGACCGAUAGUGAACCAGUACCGUGAGGGAAAGGCGAAAAGAACCCCGGCGAGGGGAGUGAAAAAGAACCUGAAACCGUGUACGUACAAGCAGUGGGAGCACAGAGCAAUCUGUGUGACUGCGUACCUUUUGUAUAAUGGGUCAGCGACUUAUAUUCUGUAGCAAGGUUAACCGAAUAGGGGAGCCGAAGGGAAACCGAGUCUUAACUGGGCGUUAAGUUGCAGGGUAUAGACCCGAAACCCGGUGAUCUAGCCAUGGGCAGGUUGAAGGUUGGGUAACACUAACUGGAGGACCGAACCGACUAAUGUUGAAAAAUUAGCGGAUGACUUGUGGCUGGGGGUGAAAGGCCAAUCAAACCGGGAGAUAGCUGGUUCUCCCCGAAAGCUAUUUAGGUAGCGCCUCGUGAAUUCAUCUCCGGGGGUAGAGCACUGUUUCGGCAAGGGGGUCAUCCCGACUUACCAACCCGAUGCAAACUGCGAAUACCGGAGAAUGUUAUCACGGGAGACACACGGCGGGUGCUAACGUCCGUCGUGAAGAGGGAAACAACCCAGACCGCCAGCUAAGGUCCCAAAGUCAUGGUUAAGUGGGAAACGAUGUGGGAAGGCCCAGACAGCCAGGAUGUUGGCUUAGAAGCAGCCAUCAUUUAAAGAAAGCGUAAUAGCUCACUGGUCGAGUCGGCCUGCGCGGAAGAUGUAACGGGGCUAAACCAUGCACCGAAGCUGCGGCAGCGACACUGUGUGUUGUUGGGUAGGGGAGCGUUCUGUAAGCCUGUGAAGGUGUGCUGUGAGGCAUGCUGGAGGUAUCAGAAGUGCGAAUGCUGACAUAAGUAACGAUAAAGCGGGUGAAAAGCCCGCUCGCCGGAAGACCAAGGGUUCCUGUCCAACGUUAAUCGGGGCAGGGUGAGUCGACCCCUAAGGCGAGGCCGAAAGGCGUAGUCGAUGGGAAACAGGUUAAUAUUCCUGUACUUGGUGUUACUGCGAAGGGGGACGGAGAAGGCUAUGUUGGCCGGGCGACGGUUGUCCCGGUUUAAGCGUGUAGGCUGGUUUUCCAGGCAAAUCCGGAAAAUCAAGGCUGAGGCGUGAUGAUGACGAGGCACUACGGUGCUGAAGCAACAAAUGCCCUGCUUCCAGGAAAAGCCUCUAAGCAUCAGGUAACAUCAAAUCGUACCCCAAACCGACACAGGUGGUCAGGUAGAGAAUACCAAGGCGCUUGAGAGAACUCGGGUGAAGGAACUAGGCAAAAUGGUGCCGUAACUUCGGGAGAAGGCACGCUGAUAUGUAGGUGAAGUCCCUCGCGGAUGGAGCUGAAAUCAGUCGAAGAUACCAGCUGGCUGCAACUGUUUAUUAAAAACACAGCACUGUGCAAACACGAAAGUGGACGUAUACGGUGUGACGCCUGCCCGGUGCCGGAAGGUUAAUUGAUGGGGUCAGCGCAAGCGAAGCUCUUGAUCGAAGCCCCGGUAAACGGCGGCCGUAACUAUAACGGUCCUAAGGUAGCGAAAUUCCUUGUCGGGUAAGUUCCGACCUGCACGAAUGGCGUAAUGAUGGCCAGGCUGUCUCCACCCGAGACUCAGUGAAAUUGAACUCGCUGUGAAGAUGCAGUGUACCCGCGGCAAGACGGAAAGACCCCGUGAACCUUUACUAUAGCUUGACACUGAACAUUGAGCCUUGAUGUGUAGGAUAGGUGGGAGGCUUUGAAGUGUGGACGCCAGUCUGCAUGGAGCCGACCUUGAAAUACCACCCUUUAAUGUUUGAUGUUCUAACGUGGACCCGUGAUCCGGGUUGCGGACAGUGUCUGGUGGGUAGUUUGACUGGGGCGGUCUCCUCCUAAAGAGUAACGGAGGAGCACGAAGGUUGGCUAAUCCUGGUCGGACAUCAGGAGGUUAGUGCAAUGGCAUAAGCCAGCUUGACUGCGAGCGUGACGGCGCGAGCAGGUGCGAAAGCAGGUCAUAGUGAUCCGGUGGUUCUGAAUGGAAGGGCCAUCGCUCAACGGAUAAAAGGUACUCCGGGGAUAACAGGCUGAUACCGCCCAAGAGUUCAUAUCGACGGCGGUGUUUGGCACCUCGAUGUCGGCUCAUCACAUCCUGGGGCUGAAGUAGGUCCCAAGGGUAUGGCUGUUCGCCAUUUAAAGUGGUACGCGAGCUGGGUUUAGAACGUCGUGAGACAGUUCGGUCCCUAUCUGCCGUGGGCGCUGGAGAACUGAGGGGGGCUGCUCCUAGUACGAGAGGACCGGAGUGGACGCAUCACUGGUGUUCGGGUUGUCAUGCCAAUGGCACUGCCCGGUAGCUAAAUGCGGAAGAGAUAAGUGCUGAAAGCAUCUAAGCACGAAACUUGCCCCGAGAUGAGUUCUCCCUGACCCUUUAAGGGUCCUGAAGGAACGUUGAAGACGACGACGUUGAUAGGCCGGGUGUGUAAGCGCAGCGAUGCGUUGAGCUAACCGGUACUAAUGAACCGUGAGGCUUAACCUU
rnacentral:rRNA from 1 species